AACGAACGUUCGCGGCGCGCCUAACACAUGCAAGUCGAGCGAGAAAGGGCUUCGGCCCCGGUACAGCGGCGCACGGGUGAGUAACACGUAGGCAAUCUGCCCCUGAGUGGGGGAUAACCUUCCGAAAGGAGGGCUAAUACCGCAUGAGACCACGACCCCGCGAGGGGAUGAGGUCAAAGCCGGCCACUUCAUGAAAGCUGGCGCUUGGGGAUGAGCCGGCGGCCCAUCAGCUAGUUGGUAGGGUAAUGGCGUACCAAGGCAUAGACGGGUAGCUGGGCGGAGAGGAUGAUCGGCCACACUGGAAAUAAGACACGGUCCAGACUCCGACGCGAGGAAGCGGUGGGGAAUCUUGCGCAAUGGGCGAAAGCCUGACGCAGCGACGCCGCGUGAGUGAUGAAGGCCUUCGGGUUGUAAAGCUCUGUGGAGGGAGACGAAUAAGGCAUGGCUAACAUCCAUGUUGAUGACGGUAUCCCUUUAGCAAGCACCGGCUAACUCUGUGCCAGCAGCCGCCGUAAGAC
rnacentral:rRNA from 1 species